UGGGGAAUAUUGCACAAUGGAGGAAACUCUGAUGCAGCGAUGCCGCGUGAGGGAAGAAGGUUUUAGGAUUGUAAACCUCUGUCUUCAGGGACGAAAAAAGGACGGUACCUGAGGAGGAAGCUCCGGCUAACUACGUGCCAGCAGCCGCGGUAAUACGUAGGGAGCGAGCGUUGUCCGGAAUUACUGGGUGUAAAGGGAGCGUAGGCGGGAUCGCAAGUCAGAUGUGAAAACUAUGGGCUUAACCCAUAAACUGCAUUUGAAACUGUGGUUCUUGAGUGAAGUAGAGGUAAGCGGAAUUCCUAGUGUAGCGGUGAAAUGCGUAGAUAUUAGGAGGAACAUCAGUGGCGAAGGCGGCCUACUGGGCUUUAACUGACGCUGAGGCUCGAAAGCGUGGGGAGCAAACAGGAUUAGAUACCCUGGUAGUCCACGCCGUAAACGAUGAUUACUAGGUGUGGGGGGACUGACCCCUUCCGUGCCGCAGCAAACGCAAUAAGUAAUCCACCUGGGGAGUACGACCGCAAGGUUGAAACUCAAAGGAAUUGACGGGGGCCCGCACAAGCAGUGGAGUAUGUGGAUUAAUUCGAAGCAACGCGAAGAACCUUACCAGGUCUUGACAUCGUAUGCAUAGCUCAGAGAUGAGUGAAAUCUCUUCGGAGACAUAUAGACAGGUGGUGCAUGGUUGUCGUCAGCUCGUGUCGUGAGAUGUUGGGUUAAGUCCCGCAACGAGCGCAACCCUUACUGUUAGUUGCUACGCAAGAGCACUCUAGCAGGACUGCCGUUGACAAAACGGAGGAAGGUGGGGAUGACGUCAAAUCAUCAUGCCCCUUAUGACCUGGGCCUCACACGUACUACAAUGGCUGUAAACAGAGGGAAGCAAAGCCGCGAGGUAGAGCGAACCCCUAAAAGCAGUCUUAGUUCGGAUUGUAGGCUGCAACCCGCCUACAUGAAGUCGGAAUUGCUAGUAAUCGCAGAUCAGCAUGCUGCGGUGAAUACGUUCCC
rnacentral:rRNA from 1 species